rnacentral:ncRNA from 2 species
GGCACACGACAGGGGAGCGCCCGAUGGCGCUGAGAGUGCGGUCCGCCGCAGACCCUCGAACCUGCUCCGGCUAGCACCGGCGAAGGAAGUCGAGCAUCUCGGAGG